GGGGAAUAUUGGACAAUGGGCGAAAGCCUGAUCCAGCAAUACCGCGUGAGUGAUGAAGGCCCUAGGGUUGUAAAGCUCUUUUAGUAGGGAAGAUAAUGACGGUACCUACAGAAAAAGCCCCGGCUAACUCCGUGCCAGCAGCCGCGGUAAGACGGAGGGGGCUAGCGUUGUUCGGAAUUACUGGGCGUAAAGAGCGCGUAGGCGGCUUAGCAAGUUGGAAGUGAAAGCCCGAGGCUUAACCUCGGAACUGCUUUCAAAACUGUUAGGCUAGAGUAUAGUAGAGGGUGAUAGAAUUCCUAGUGUAGAGGUGAAAUUCUUAGAUAUUAGGAGGAAUACCGGUGGCGAAGGCGAUCACCUGGGCUAUUACUGACGCUGAGGCGCGAAAGCGUGGGGAGCAAAC
rnacentral:rRNA from 1 species